rnacentral:lncRNA from 1 species
UGUAUGGUUGUAGUUCUUUAGUGGGUAUACGUUGCCAAACAAGUUUCAACAAAAACAUCUUACUCACUUAGAAACACAAGUUGCCAAAUUCAGGCAAAAUGAUAUCUAAAUAUAAAAGAAAGAGAUGGAAAAAGAGCUACAGCAAUAUCUUUAAUUAGAGGAGACAAUUAUGGAUCUUGAAGGAGCCCAACCUAACUGAUCAGACCAAAAGGCUUAUGCAAGGGGCAUAAAAAUAAUUAUGGUCAUCAUCUCAGUAUUAAAAAUAGAGGUCAAGAAUGAUAUAUUCCAUGUUUUAUCAGGUAAAAUAAAAUCAGCAAUUGUAUAAGCCUCC